UACGUAGGGUGCAAGCGUAAUCGGAAUUACUGGGCGUAAAGCGUGCGCAGGCGGUUUUGUAAGUCUGUCGUGAAAUCCCCGGGCUUAACCUGGGAAUGGCGAUGGAGACUGCAAGGCUAGAAUCUGGCAGAGGGGGGUAGAAUUCCACGUGUAGCAGUGAAAUGCGUAGAGAUGUGGAGGAACACCGAUGGCGAAGGCAGCCCCCUGGGCUAAGAUU
rnacentral:rRNA from 1 species